rnacentral:rRNA from 1 species
CAUCCUCCAAGGCUAAAUACUCCUGACUGACCGAUAGUGAACCAGUACCGUGAGGGAAAGGCGAAAAGAACCCCUGUGAGGGGAGUGAAAUAGAUCCUGAAACCGUAUGCGUACAAGCAGUGGGAGCCGACUUGUUCGGUGACUGCGUACCUUUUGUAUAAUGGGUCAGCGACUUAUAUUCAGUGGCGAGCUUAACCGUCUAGGGGAGGCGUAGGGAAACCGAGUCUUAAUAGGGCGUUUAGUCGCUGGGUAUAGACCCGAAACC